rnacentral:rRNA from 1 species
AAAAUUAAAAUUUAUUAAUAUUUUUAGUUUAUAAUUGUUUAAAAAAAGAAAUUUUUAUUUUAUUAUUAAUUAGAAAAAAUUUAUUUAAUGAUAGUAAAUUAGUAUUGUGAAAGAAUAUUUAAAUUUAUUUAUAAGAAAAAUUUAUUUUUUGUACCUUGUGUAUCAGGGUUUAUUAAAUUUAAUAGAUAAUUUCUAUAAUCUCGAAUUUAAAAGAGCUAAAUAUAUAUAAUUUUUAUUGUGGAAUAAAUAUUUUUAAUGUAUAUUUUGUAAUGAAAUGUUAUUCGUUUUUAAAUAUAUCUAGUUUUUUAAGAAAAAAAUUUAAUUUUAAUAUUAUAAAUUAAUUUUUUAAUUAUUUAAUUAAUUAAUUAUAAUAUUUUAUAUUUUUAGGGAUAAGCUUGAAAAUAGAUUUUUUAUUAGUAAUAUAAUUAUAAUAAAAUUGUAGGAUUAGAAGUUUUUAUCAAUAAGAGGAAGUUAUAUUCUAUUUAUUUUUUAAUAUAAUUUAUAUUUACUAUAAAUUUUUUAUUAAAAUAUUAAUUUUAAUUAAUAAAAUUAAGCAAUAAUGAUAAAAUUAGUAUAUGAAAUUUAUUUUAUUAAUAUUUUUAUGAUAAAUAUUAAAUGAAGGAAUUCGGCAAAUUAUAUUUUUCACCUGUUUAUUAAAAACAUGGCCUUUUGAUAAUAAUUUAAGGUCAGGCCUGCCCACUGAAUAUUAAAGGGCCGCGGUAAUUUGACCGUGCUAAGGUAGCAUAAUCAUUAGUUUCUUAAUUAGAAGCUAGAAUGAAGGGUUUGAUGAAAAAAUUACUGUCUCUGUUUAAUUAAUAUAAAAUUUUAUUUUUAAGUUAGAAAGCUUAAAUUUAUUUAAAAGACGAGAAGACCCUAUAGAGUUUAAUAUUUUUUUUUUAGUAAUAUUUUAUUGGAAUAAUAAUUUUUUACUUUAAAUAAUAUUUAAUUGGGGUGAUUGAAAAAUUAAAUAAACUUUUUCUAUAAUUAACCAUUAAUUUAUGAAUACUUGAUCCAUUAAUAGUGAUUAUAAGAAAAAAUUACCUUAGGGAUAACAGCGUAAUUUUUUUUGAGAGUUCUUAUCGAAAAAAAAGAUUGCGACCUCGAUGUUGGAUUAAAAUUUAAUUUUGGUGUAGCAGCUAAAAAUAUUAGGUCUGUUCGACCUUUAAAAUUUUACAUGAUCUGAGUUUAAACCGGCGUGAGCCAGGUUGGUUUCUAUCUUUAAAAAGUUAAAAUAUUUUAGUACGAAAGGAUUAAAUAUUUGAAUAAAAUUUUAAUUAUUGAAUUAAAUUG